rnacentral:rRNA from 1 species
AGAGUUUGAUCCUGGCUCAGAUUGAACGCUGGCGGCAUGCUUUACACAUGCAAGUCGGACGGCAGCACAGGGAAGCUUGCUUCUCGGGUGGCGAGUGGCGAACGGGUGAGUAACAUAUCGGAACGUACCGGGUAGCGGGGAUAACUGAUCGAAAGAUCAGCUAAUACCGCAUACGUCUUGAGAGGGAAAGCAGGGGACCUUCGGGCCUUGCGCUAUCCGAGCGGCCGAUAUCUGAUUAGCUGGUUGGCGGGGUAAAGGCCCACCAAGGCGACGAUCAGUAGCGGGUCUGAGAGGAUGAUCCGCCACACUGGGACUGAGACACGGCCCAGACUCCUACGGGAGGCAGCAGUGGGGAAUUUUGGACAAUGGGCGCAAGCCUGAUCCAGCCAUGCCGCGUGUCUGAAGAAGGCCUUCGGGUUGUAAAGGACUUUUGUCAGGGAAGAAAAGGCCGUUGCCAAUAUCGGCGGCCGAUGACGGUACCUGAAGAAUAAGCACCGGCUAACUACGUGCCAGCAAGCCGCGGUAAUACGUAGGGUGCGAGCGUUAAUCGGAAUUACUGGGCGUAAAGCGGGCGCAGACGGUUACUUAAGCAGGAUGUGAAAUCCCCGGGCUCAACCCGGGAACUGCGUUCUGAACUGGGUGACUCGAGUGUGUCAGAGGGAGGUGGAAUUCCACGUGUAGCAGUGAAAUGCGUAGAGAUGUGGAGGAAUACCGAUGGCGAAGGCAGCCUCCUGGGAUAACACUGACGUUCAUGUCCGAAAGCGUGGGUAGCAAACAGGAUUAGAUACCCUGGUAGUCCACGCCCUAAACGAUGUCAAUUAGCUGUUGGGCAACUUGAUUGCUUGGUAGCGUAGCUAACGCGUGAAAUUGACCGCCUGGGGAGUACGGUCGCAAGAUUAAAACUCAAAGGAAUUGACGGGGACCCGCACAAGCGGUGGAUGAUGUGGAUUAAUUCGAUGCAACGCGAAGAACCUUACCUGGUUUUGACAUGUGCGGAAUCCUCCGGAGACGGAGGAGUGCCUUCGGGAGCCGUAACACAGGUGCUGCAUGGCUGUCCGUCAGCUCGUGUCGUGAGAUGUUGGGUUUAAGUCCCGCAACGAGCGCAACCCUUGUCAUUAGUUGCCAUCAUUCGGUUGGGCACUCUAAUGAGACUGCGGUGACAAGCCGGAGGAAGGUGGGGAUGACGUCAAGUCCUCAUGGCCCUUAUGACCAGGGCUUCACACGUCAUACAAUGGUCGGUACAGAGGGUAGCCAAGCCGCGAGGCGGAGCCAAUCUCACAAAACCGAUCGUAGUCCGGAUUGCACUCUGCAACUCGAGUGCAUGAAGUCGGAAUCGCUAGUAAUCGCAGGUCAGCAUACUGCGGUGAAUACGUUCCCGGGUCUUGUACACACCGCCCGUCACACCAUGGGAGUGGGGGAUACCAGAAGUAGGUAGGGUAACCGCAAGGAGUCCGCUUACCACGGUAUGCUUCAUGACUGGGGUGAAGUCGUAACAAGGUAGCCGUAGGGGAACCUGCGGCUG